rnacentral:rRNA from 1 species
CCCUUAGAUGUCCUGGGCCGCACGCGUGCUACACUGACACUUACACCGAGUUUUUCCAAUGCCGAAAGGCCAUUGGUAAUCAGCAAUAAGUGUCGUGAUGGGGAUAGAUCUUUGGAAUUAUUGAUCUUGAACGAGGAAUGCCUAGUAAUCGUAGGUCAUCAGCCUGCGAUGAUUACGUCCCUGCCCUUUGUACACACCGCCCGUCGCUCCUACCGAUUUCGAGUGGUUCGGUGAAUAAUUCGGACUGCAGCACUGCUUGGUCUCCAGGCUUUGCAGCGGAAAGUUUAGUGAACCUUAUCACUUAGAGGAAGGAGAAGUCGUAACA